rnacentral:rRNA from 1 species
CCUACGGGAGGCAGCAGUGGGGAAUAUUGCACAAUGGGGGAAACCCUGAUGCAGCGACGCCGCGUGAGUGAAGAAGUAUUUCGGUAUGUAAAGCUCUAUCAGCAGGGAAGAAAAUGACGGUACCUGUUUAAGAAGCACCGGCUAACUACGUGCCAGCAGCCGCGGUAAUACGUAGGGGGCAAGCGUUAUCCGGAUUUACUGGGUGUAAAGGGAGCGUAGACGGCAGCACAAGUCUGGAGUGAAAUGCCGGGGCUUAACCCCGGAACUGCUUUGGAAACUGUGCAGCUAGAGUGCAGGAGAGGUGAGUGGAAUUCCUAGUGUAGCGGUGAAAUGCGUAGAUAUUAGGAGGAACACCAGUGGCGAAGGCGGCUUACUGGACUGUGACUGACGUUGAGGCUCGAAAGCGUGGGGAGCAAACAGGAUUAGAUACCCCUGUAGUC